rnacentral:rRNA from 1 species
CCCUUAGAUGUUCUGGGCCGCACGCGCGCUACACUGACGAAGUCAGCGAGCAUGUCCUACGCCGACAGGUGCGGGGAAUCUUGUCAAACUUCGUCGUGAUGGGGAUUGAUUAUUGAAAUUCUUGAUCAUCAACGAGGAAUUCCUAGUAAGCGCAAGUCAGCAGCUUGCGUUGAUUACGUCCCUGCCCUUUGUACACACCGCCCGUCGCUACUACCGAUUGAAUGGUUUAGUGAGAUCUUCGGAUUGGCGCCACUGCGGCUCAGCAAUGGGCUCGGUGGAUGCCGAAAAGUUGAUCAAACUUGAUCUUUUAGAGGAAGUAAAAGUCGUAACA